rnacentral:rRNA from 1 species
UACGUAGGGUGCGAGCGUUUAAUCGGAAUUACUGGGCGUAAAGCGUGCGCAGGCGGCUUCUCAAGUCAGGGGUGAAAGCCCAGAGCUCAACUCUGGAAUUGCCUUUGAGACUGAGUGGCUUGAGUACGGGAGAGGUGAGUGGAAUUCCCAGUGUAGAGGUGAAAUUCGUAGAUAUUGGGAAGAACACCGGUGGCGAAGGCGGCUCACUGGCCCGUAACUGACGCUCAUGCACGACAGCGUGGGGAUCAAACAGG